rnacentral:rRNA from 1 species
CUGGGGCCUUGGCCUUGGAUUGUAGCCUCUAGACAUAGUGCCAACGGAGGCGCAGGUGCAAGCCUCUUGGAAAAGAGCAUCAAUGUGGGUGAGAAUCCUGUGUUUCACUUGCAGUCCACCGUGCACGGCACAUGUUCUCAGAGUCGCGUUCCUCGGAAUUGGAGCGUAAAGUGGGUGGUAAAUUUCAUCUAAAGCUAAAUAUAGGCUUGAGACCGAUAGCAAACAAGUACCAUGAGGGAAAGAUGAAAAGGACUUUGAAAAGAGAGUUAAAAGUGCUUGAAAUCGCUGAAAGGGAAGCGAAUGGAACCAGUCUUCUGGCUGAGAUUGCUGCAUGCUACUGUGAUGCCUGGCUGCUUCAACGCAAGUGUUGUAGUUAGAGUUGAUCAGCUGCGUGUGGUGUUUCUCAGCUUGUUAGUCAACCUCUGUUUGCGCUUGGGGAUAGCCUCAGGUACACGUCGCUUCUCUGCGGAGUUGCUCCUGUGCUUGUAGGGACUCAGGUGCAUACUUUUGGUGACAAAAUGGUUCUCUUCGACCCGUCUUGAACACGGACCAAGGAGUCUAGCACAUGUGCAAGUUCACAGGUGGCAAGCCUGCUUGCGCAAUGAAGGUGACUGCUGGGAUAUUUGCACCAGCAACCGACCAAUCAAUUGAGAGAAGUUUGAGUAUGAGCAUAUGUGUUAGGA